GACGAACGCUGGCGGCGUGCUUAACACAUGCAAGUCGUACGGUAAGGCCCUUUCGGGGGUACACGAGUGGCGAACGGGUGAGUAACACGUGAGUAACCUGCCCACAACUUUGGGAUAACGCUAGGAAACUGGUGCUAAUACUGGAUAUGUGCUCCUGCUGCAUGGUGGGGGUUGGAAGGCUCCGGCGGUUGUGGAUGGACUCGCGGCCUAUCAGCUUGUUGGUGGGGUAGUGGCAUACCAAGGCGGCGACGGGUAGCCGGCCUGAGAGGGUGACCGGCCACAUUGGGACUGAGAGACGGCCCAGACUCCUACGGGAGGCAGCAGUGGGGAAUAUUGCACAAUGGGCGCAAGCCUGAUGCAGCAACGCCGCGUGCGGGAUGACGGCCUUCGGGUUGUAAACCGCUUUCAGAAGGGACGAAGCUUUUUGUGACGGUACCUGCAGAAGAAGCACCGGCUAACUACGUG
rnacentral:rRNA from 1 species